UCAGUCGACUCCUACGGGGAGGCAGCAGUGGGGAAUAUUGCACAAUGGGGGAAACCCUGAUGCAGCCAUGCCGCGUGUGUGAAGAAGGCCUCGGGUUGUAAACACUUUCAGUAGGGAGGAAGGUAGUGUAGUUAACACCUGCACUAUUUGACGUUACCUACAGAAGAAGCACCGGCUAACUCCGUGCCAGCAGCCGCGGUAAUACGGAGGGUGCGAGCGUUAAUCGGAAUUACUGGGCGUAAAGCGCAUGCAGGCGGCCUGUUAAGUCAGAUGUGAAAGCCCGGGGCUUAACCUCGGAAUUGCAUUUGAAACUGGCAGGCUAGAGUCUUGUAGAGGGGGGUAGGAAUUUCAGGUGUAGCGGUGAAAUGCGUAGAGAUCUGAAGGAAUACCAGUGGCGAAGGCGGCCCCCUGGACAAAGACUGACGCUCAGAUGCGAAAGCGUGGGGAGCAAACAGGAUUAGAUACCCUGGUAG
rnacentral:rRNA from 1 species